UAAAAAAUUUUGGCGGUAUUUUAAGCUUAUUAGAGGAAUUUGCUCUGUGAUGGACACAACGCCUUAAUCUUACUUAAUUUAGUAAUUUAAAUCAGUUUGUAUACCACUAUAUUAAUUAUAUUGAAUAGUUAUAUUUAAAAUUUUUUUAAAAAAAUAUAUUAAGUCAAGGUGCAUCUAAUAAUUAUGAAUGAAGUGAAUUACAUUAAUUUUAAUGUAAUUUUUUGCAUGAAAAAAUUAAUUAGGAUUUAAUAGUAAAAUACUAAUAUUAUGAGUAUUUGAAUCAAGCUCUAAAAUAUGCACAUAUCGCCCGUCGCUCUCAGAAGUGAGAUAAGUCGUAACAAAGUAAAAAUACUGGAAAGUGUUUUUUAAAAUGAAAUCAUUUGAUGUUUCAUUUACAAUGAAAAUUUUGUUGUUUAACCAUUUUAA
rnacentral:rRNA from 1 species